rnacentral:rRNA from 1 species
UACGGGGGGGGCAAGCGUUGUUCGGAAUUACUGGGCGUAAAGGGCGCGUAGGCGGCCUGCUAAGUCGGACGUGAAAUCCCUCGGCUCAACCGGGGAACUGCGUCCGAUACUGGCGAGGCUUGAAUCCGGGAGAGGGAUGUGGAAUUCCAGGUGUAGCGGUGAAAUGCGCAGAUAUCGGGAGGAACACCAGUGGCGAAGGCGGAACUCUGGGCCGGAACUGACGCUGAGGAGCGAAAGCGUGGGGAGCGAACAGG